CACGUAGGCACCAAGCGUUAUCCGGAUUUAUUGGGCGUAAAGAGCUCGUAGGCGGUUCAGUAAGUCGGGUGUGAAAACUCUGGGCUCAACCCAGAGAGGCCACCCGAUACUGCUGUGACUAGAGUGCGGUAGGGGAGCGGGGAAUUCCUGGUGUAGCGGUGAAAUGCGCAGAUAUCAGGAGGAACACCAGCGGCGAAGGCGCCGCUCUGGGCCGUAACUGACGCUGAGGAGCGAAAGCAUGGGUAGCAAACAGG
rnacentral:rRNA from 1 species